GGAUCCUUCGGGAUUAGUGGCGGACGGGUGAGUAACACGUGGGAACGUGCCCUUUGGUUCGGAACAACUCAGGGAAACUUGAGCUAAUACCGGAUGUGCCCUUUGGGGGAAAGAUUUAUCGCCAUUGGAGCGGCCCGCGUCUGAUUAGCUAGUUGGUGAGGUAAAGGCUCACCAAGGCGACGAUCAGUAGCUGGUCUGAGAGGAUGAUCAGCCACAUUGGGACUGAGACACGGCCCAAACUCCUACGGGAGGCAGCAGUGGGGAAUCUUGCGCAAUGGGCGAAAGCCUGACGCAGCCAUGCCGCGUGAAUGAUGAAGGUCUUAGGAUUGUAAAAUUCUUUCACCGGGGACGAUAAUGACGGUACCCGGAGAAGAAGCCCCGGCUAACUUCGUGCCAGCAGCCGCGGUAAUACGAAGGGGGCUAGCGUUGCUCGGAAUUACUGGGCGUAGAGGGAGCGUAGGCGGACUGUUAAGUUAGAGGUGAAAGCCCAGGGCUCAACCUUGGAAUUGCCUUUGAUACUGGCAGUCUUGAGUACGGAAGAGGUAUGUGGAACUCCGAGUGUAGAGGUGAAAUUCGUAGAUAUUCGGAAGAACACCAGUGGCGAAGGCGACAUACUGGUCCGUUACUGACGCUGAGGCUCGAAAGCGUG
rnacentral:rRNA from 1 species